AUCCAUCUGACGGGUCCGAAAUAGGACGAUACGCGCAUCCUGGAU
rnacentral:hammerhead_ribozyme from 1 species